rnacentral:rRNA from 1 species
AGUCGCUUGUCCUGGACCCGAAGCGGGAUGAUCUAGCCCUGGGCAGGUUGAAGCGCGGGUAAGACCGCGUGGAGGACCGAACCCACCUGGGUUGAAAACCGGGGGGAUGACCUGGGGCUAGGGGUGAAAGGCCAAUCAAAUUCCGUGAUAGCUGGUUCUCUCCGAAAUGCAUUUAGGUGCAGCGUCGGUCGAUUGCGUCGCGGGGGUAGAGCUACCGGAUGCUUGCGGGCCCUUGUUGGGUACCAACAGCAGCCGAACUCCGAAUACCGUUGACGUGUAUUCCGGCAGUGAGUCGGCGGGGGAUAAGCUCCGUCGUCGAGAGGGAGACAGCCCAGACCGUCGUCUAAGGUCCCGAAGCGUGUGCUAAGUGGGAAAGGAUGUGGAGUCGCAUAGACAGCCAGGAGGUUGGCUCAGAAGCAGCCAUCCUUGAAAGAGUGCGUAACAGCUCACUGGUCUAGUGGUUCCGCGCCGACAAUGUAGCGGGGCUCAAGCACACCACCGAAGACGCGGCAGCAAUCUUCAUGGUUGCUGGGUAGGAGAGCGUCCUGCGAGGGGCGAAGCGGCCGGGUAACCGUGCCGUGGACUUCGUGGGAGUGAGAAUGCAGACAUGAGUAGCGAGAGACGGGUGAGGAUCCCGUCCGCUGGAUGACCAAGGGUUCCGGGGCCACGUUCGUCGUCCCCGGGUGAGUCGGGUCCUAAGGCGAGGCCGACAGGCGUAGUCGAAUGGAUGAACGGGUGGAUAUUCCCGUACCGACCAUGGACCGGCAAAACCGAGACGGUGAGUACUAACCUCCGCCUCGUGGUGGUUCCUUCCUUCGGGUUGGUUCCGUCGCGUGGUGUUGGGAGCGUAGCCGCAGUAGGUCAGCGCAGGGGUGACACGGAAUGGGAGCCGGCCGCGGAGGUGGUUUUCCGUGGUCAAGCACGCAGCCAGUCAUGUAGGCAAAUCCGCAUGGCAUGCAUGGCGAGGUGUGAUGAUGGGAGCCGUUAUGGUUCGAUAUCCGGUUGUCCAGGCCGUCGAGAAAAGCCUCGGCGUGAGGGCCAUGGCCGCCCGUACCCCAAACCGACACUGGUGGUCAGGUAGAGAAUACCAAGGCGAUCGAGCGAAUCCUGGUCAAGGAACUCGGCAAAUCACUCCCGUGCCUUCGGUAUAAGGGAGACCCACUGGGGUGAAGGACCUUGCGUCCGGAGCUUUGGUGGGUGGCACAGACCAGGGGGUAGCGACUGUUUACCAAAAACACAGGUGCAUGCGAAGGCGAAAGCCGCUGUAUAUGCACUGACGCCUGCCCGGUGCCGGAAGGUUAAGAGGAUCCGUCAGUCCUUCGGGAUGAAGCGGUGAAUUCAAGCCCCGGUAAACGGCGGUGGUAACUAUAACCAUCCUAAGGUAGCGAAAUUCCUUGUCGGGUAAGUUCCGACCUGCACGAAUGGCGUAACGACUUCCCCACUGUCUCGACCAGGAGCUCGGCGAAAUUGCAGUACGAGUAAAGAUGCUCGUUAAGCGCAGAAGGACGAAAAGACCCCGGGACCUUUACUAUACCUUGGUAUUGGCGUUAGGCGCGGAUUGUGUAGCAUAGGCGGGAGGCUUCGAAGCGGGUGCGCCAGCAUUCGUGGAGCCGCAAGGUGAAAUACCGCUCUGUUCUCGUUUGACGUCUAACCUCGACAAGUCAUCCUUGUCAGGGACAGUGCCUGGCGGGUAGUUCAACUGGGGCGGUUGCCUCCCAAAGAGUAACGGAGGCGCUCAAAGGUCCGCUCAGCCCGGUUGGCAAUCGGGUGUCGAGUGUAAUCGCACAAGCGGGCUUGACUGCGAGGACGACGGUCCGAGCAGGGACGAAAGUCGGAGAUAGUGAUCCGGUGCCGGCGCACGGGCGCGGCAUCGCUCAACGGAUAAAAGGUACCCCGGGGAUAACAGGCUGAUCAUUCCCAAGAGUCCAUAUCGACGGGAUGGUUUGGCACCUCGAUGUCGGCUCGUCGCAUCC